ensembl:lncRNA
GGAGAUGCUGUCAGGAUGAGAAGUUAACACAUGGGAGCCAGCUGUAGCAACUAAAUGUCUCAAGGAAACUUGUUCUUACAUAAUGAAAUCCAUUCACAAAGAAUAUCACAGAAAGUUGGAGUGACCUGAUAAAACUCUGAGGAGAUUACCAGAUUUAUUCUUGGAAAGGCAAGAAAGUGAAGCUCAAAGCCUGACAGACUUUGAAAAUGAUGAAAAUGUGGCUGUUAAUUCAAAAGUUUUAUUUCCAGAUGUUCAGAGAACUGAUUUUUUAAAGAUAGCGUGUUGCAUAAUAUGUUGGAAAACCACAUGUAAGUGUUUGUAAAGCAAACUAAGACCAAAUCAGAAAAACAGUUACAUUUAGAAAUGUAGCAGGAUAUACCAUGAAAAACUGCUAAAAUUAUCUGGGCAGAAUUCUGGAAUUCUGGCUUUGCCAUAAGCUCAUUAUUAAGAAAACCAUGCUGCUCUGCUGCCCUGGAGCAGCCAGGAAAAGUAAUUUGAGAAAACAGUGACUUGCAGAAUGAGGUCACUAUACUGAGUUAUACCAAGCAUACAGUACCUCAACACAGCAGCACAGCAAGACAACAGAAAAAGGCUGUACUGUGCUGGAAUUUUGACAAUGUGAAUGCAGUGGUUCACUGUCAGACCUUCAUAAUUAGAAUACUCUUGUCACAUUUGGAUGUGGACGUAUCCCUCUCUGUGACCAAGGGAAAAAGACUUUAUAACAUGUUUGCAAAUGUUGGCUCAAUUUUCCACUGUAAGACACUCUUCAUAGAGCAGAGGUGUAUCAGUAUUUGCAGUGUGUGCCAUCCCCUUCUGCCUGGGAAGCAGGAACAAAGCAUGGGGUGCUGUUGUGAUGAUGACCUUUGGCAAGCUGAGAUGCAAAGCACCCAGCAGGAAUUUCCUUCAGCACAAAGAAAGCUAAAGAGCUUGAUCUGGUGAAAUAUCUGGUGAAAUAUCCUGACUGGAAGCAGGAAGUACUGUAAAUGGCAUAAGAAAGCAUAUUCUCAUGACAUUUCCUGUCCAAUUUUGCUGACUGCAUAUUCAAAUAAAAUCAUAUUCAAAGUGUCA